CCCAUCAUCCAGCACACACACACCCAUCAUCCAGCACUCACACACCCAUCAUCCAGCACUCACACACCCAUCAUCCAGCACACACACACCCAUCAUCCAGCACUCACACACCCAUCAUCCAGCACACACACACCCAUCAUCCAGCACUCUCACACCCAUCAUCCAGCACUCACACACACAUCAUCCAGCACUCACACACCCAUCAUCCAGCACUCACACACACAUCAUCCAGCACACACACACAUCAUCCAGCACUCACACACACACGUCACCCAGCGCGCACACACACA